rnacentral:rRNA from 1 species
UACGUAGGUGACCAGCGUUGUCCGGAUUUACUGGGCGUAAAAAGCGCGCAGGCGGUCGUUCAAGUCGAGUGUGAAAGCCCCCGGCUCAACUGGGGAGGGUCAUUCGAUACUGAUCGACUGGAAGGCAGGAGAGGGAAGCGGAAUUCCCGGUGUAGUGGUGAAAUGCGUAGAUAUCGUGAGGAACACCAGAGGCGAAGGCGGUUACCUGGACAAUUACUGACGCUCAGGCACGAAAGCAUGGGGAGCAAAAGGG